rnacentral:rRNA from 1 species
UACGAAGGGGGCUAGCGCUGUUCGGAAUCACUGGGCGUAAAGGGCGCGUAGGCGGCCGAUCAAGUCGGGGGUGAAAGCCUGUGGCUCAACCACAGAAUUGCCUUCGAUACUGUUUGGCUUGAGACCGGAAGAGGUAAGUGGAACUGCGAGUGUAGAGGUGAAAUUCGUAGAUAUUCGCAAGAACACCAGUGGCGAAGGCGGCUUACUGGUCCGGUUCUGACGCUGAGGCGCGAAAGCGUGGGGAGCAAACAGG